rnacentral:misc_RNA from 1 species
GUCUCAUUUGUGAAUAGUUUACUCUGUCAAACACAACAAGCGCAAAUGUGUGGUUGGUGGAUUAGUGGCAGUCUUGAAGGGUCGGCAGGCAUAAAAUACCCACCCAUCCAACCCCACCACCAACAAACCCCCAAUACACCGAUUUGUAAUGAUCCUUCCGCAGGUUCACCUACGGAAA